UAAAUAUUAAUUCUCGAGGUAGCAGGGGCUAUUAUGCAUGCAUAAUGUUUUCGUGGUAGUGAAAUUUGGUAGUGUGUGAUAGUAAUGAAAUAUUAAUCGGCUGUUAGGAUAUCUAGUUUUUUGUUAUAUAGUAGAUGCUAGUGAGGUUAAAAUUUAUAAGAUUAGUUAUGAAUUGAGUUAAUUUAAGGCGUUUAGUAAACAUUGAUUGCUUUAAUGGUAAGAAUUAGUUAGUGUGUUAUUACAAGUGUUUAUGUCAUUUGGAUUAAAAUUAAAAUUAGGUUGUAGCAAAUGUCCUAAGGUAAUGUUUGGCUUGGGCUAAUAAUGAUAAGAUGAGUAUAGUGCGUUUAGUGAAAAUGUUAAUGUGAGGAUUAAAAAUUUGAGAAAAAAAGUUAACUAUAAAUAACUCGGCAAUAAAGUUCUAAAAUGUAUACAAAAACAUUUCCUUUUAGGUGAAAGGUAGAUUCUGCCCGGUGCAAAGUAAACGGCUGCGGUAUCCUGACCGUACGAAGGUAGCAAAAUAAAUAGUCUUUUAAUUGGGGACUGGUAUGAAAGAUUUAAUUAGGAACUUGCUUUUUUGUGGUUAUAAAUAGAAUUUAAUUAAUAAGUUAAAAGGCUUAUAUGUGUUAAAGUGACAAGAAGACCCUAAGAGUUUUACAAAUUAGGUUGAUUUAGGUAAAUAGUUGUGGAUAUUUAGUUUGGCUGAAUUUGUUUGACUGGGGCGGUUUAAAUAUUACCUAUUUAGUAGAGAACUAAAAUGAAAGGAGUAGUUUGGAGUAGUAUCCUUUUUGGAAAGCAGGAUAAAUUACCUUAGGGAUAACAGCAUAAUCUUUUUUGAGAGACCGUAUUGACAAGAAGGUUUGUGACCUCGAUGUUGGAUUUGAAUAACUUCUUGGAGCAGCAUUUAAGUAAGUUGGUCUGUUCGACCAUU
rnacentral:rRNA from 1 species